ensembl:lncRNA
GGGAGAGCUAGAAGUCCUCUGCGUGCAUGCAACACCCCAAAAAGGAGAGCCAGCCUGGUGACACCCACAGCCAUGGGACUGUUGAAUUGUCCCAUUGUCUGCUGGGAAAGUGGCGGCGAAUGGGGAGCGCUUCUCCCAAAGUACCAAACCUGUCUGUGCACACAGAGUACCUCACAUGGCCCGGACACCACGGCAGGGCGAUGGGUGCGGGAUGGGGCCAGGCUGGUGCUGCUGGGUGCAGAGUGGUACAGUGCUUUCCUGCUGUCUGGAGCAUUGAGAAAAUACCCAACUGACUUUGCAUUGCUACUGAAAAUUUAAAAUACUGUGCAAUUUAAAAGACCGUUUUUUAAUAAAAAGUAAUGUAGAAAUUAUUUAUUUUGAUUUACAGUGUGACUCUUGCUAAUUUAUUCCUUGCAUUAUAAGGCCACGGAGGAGUGUAUCUUUUACUUAGUGUAGGAGCUUAAGCUGCUGAAAUGAAGAAAACAACGGAUUAAAGCUUAAAACGAAAUCCUGUGGCCUUGUUUUGUUGGGUUUUUUUGUUGUUGUUUGUUUGUUUGUUUUUAUAAAAGGGCUGAGGUUUUAUAAGCAUCAAGUCAUGCAUUUUAUACACUCUGUAAAUUAUCAAGAGGUACAAUUUAAGAACUUUCUUUGAAUUUUAGUAUGUAUGUGCACACUGUUUAGACUAACAGUGUAACCAAUGCUACAGUCAUGUGUGUGAGGCGGUUGUUCCAGCUAACCUUGUGGUGGGGGCGGGAGGUACAUUCAGAUUCCACAUGCAGACAUUGCGUAGCACAUUGCCCGUAGUCAUGGGUAUCAUAAGGCUUCAUCAGGAGCUGAUGGUCUCAGUGCCCGAUCCCACGUGCAGUGUCUCUACACGUGCGGAUCAUACUGCUGUGUGUGUGUGUGUUCGGGUUUGCUUUGUUAUAAGGCAGUGAGAUACAUGGGAGCUGUCUGUAAAGGCACUGUUGAAUACGUUGAGUUGUUAAUAGUUAGGAGCAUGCUGUAAAUCUUUUUCCACCUUCCAUUUCCAGAUCUUAAAGGUUUGGCCUAACUUAUGCUUGAACUGAUUGUUGUUCUGUCUGUCCUUGCACCUCUAAAGGGGAAAUGACAGCAAUAGUUCUCUUCCCCCCUCAGAUCUAAUAGCUACAUGGGGAGCUGGAAGCACGCAGAAACCAAAUCUAUUCAUUGGCAUCUCAGCACAUUCGUCCUCACUGUUUCAUGGGUGUAACAGUCUAUGCCUUCUAAAGGCAAACCUCUGUUUUCGCAGGACAAACUUUGUUGUUGUUCUCCAGUGAAGUCUGAUUUGAAAGGUUCGGUUGGCUGGUUGGUUGCUUUUUAUUCACAUGAACGACAGUCUUAAUCAUACUGGUAUUUAAGAAAUGUUGUGCCAGCACAUUAUGGAACAUUGUGCAAGGAAACAGAAAUGCAGCUACGGCAGCAAUAAUUGCAUUCAGUAGUUCCUUUUCCCUCAUUAUCUCUGUGCUUGUAUUGAGUAGGUGAGGUUUUCUACUAUCCUAAAGGCAGUUCUGGCAAAGCCAUCAGAAGAGUCGUGUCGGGACUAAUUGAUAAAGCAAUUGUCAAAUGCUCUUCGUUCCUUCACUGGUUGUUCUGUGUCAUUUCUGUGAUGUGACUACUCGCAUCUUAAAGCCACCAUCUAAACCAUUCCAAAAACAUGUAUCUGGAUUCUGCUUUUAGAGAAAAAAAAUAAAGAUUUGUUUUCC